rnacentral:rRNA from 1 species
CUAUCUUAAGGCCGAGAGCUGAUGACGAGUGUCCUUUAGGACACGAAGUGGUUGAUGCCAUGCUUCCAAGAAAAGCUUCUAAGCUUCAGGUAACCAGGAACCGUACCCCAAACCGACACAGGUGGUUGGGUAGAGAAUACCAAGGCGCUUGAGAGAACUCGGGUGAAGGAACUAGGCAAAAUGGCACCGUAACUUCGGGAGAAGGUGCGCCGGUGAGGGUGAAGCAUUUACUGCGUAAGCCCACGCCGGUCGAAGAUACCAGGCCGCUGCGACUGUUUAUUAAAAACACAGCACUCUGCAAACACGAAAGUGGACGUAUAGGGUGUGACGCCUGCCCGGUGCCGGAAGGUUAAUUGAUGGGGUUAGCUAACGCGAAGCUCUUGAUCGAAGCCCCGGUAAACGGCGGCCGUAACAAUAACGGUCCUAAGGUAGCGAAAUUCCUUGUCGGGUAAGUUCCGACCUGCACGAAUGGCGUAACGAUGGCGGCGCUGUCUCCACCCGAGACUCAGUGAAAUUGAAAUCGCUGUGAAGAUGCAGUGUAUCCGCGGCUAGACGGAAAGACCCCGUGAACCUUUACUAUAGCUUUGCACUGGACUUUGAAUUUGCUUGUGUAGGAUAGGUGGGAGGCUUUGAAGCGUGGACGCCAGUCUGCGUGGAGCCAACCUUGAAAUACCACCCUGGCAACUUUGAGGUUCUAACUCAGGUCCGUUAUCCGGAUCGAGGACAGUGUAUGGUGGGUAGUUUGACUGGGGCGGUCUCCUCCUAAAGAGUAACGGAGGAGUACGAAGGUGCGCUCAGGCCGGUCGGAAAUCGGUCGUAGAGUAUAAAGGCAAAAGCGCGCUUGACUGCGAGACAGACACGUCGAGCAGGUACGAAAGUAGGUCUUAGUGAUCCGGUGGUUCUGUAUGGAAGGGCCAUCGCUCAACGGAUAAAAGGUACUCCGGGGAUAACAGGCUGAUACCGCCCAAGAGUUCAUAUCGACGGCGGUGUUUGGCACCUCGAUGUCGGCUCAUCACAUCCUGGGGCUGAAGCCGGUCCCAAGGGUAUGGCUGUUCGCCAUUUAAAGUGGUACGCGAGCUGGGUUUAGAACGUCGUGAGACAGUUCGGUCCCUAUCUGCCGUGGACGUUUGAGAUUUGAGAGGGGCUGCUCCUAGUACGAGAGGACCGGAGUGGACGAACCUCUGGUGUUCCGGUUGUCACGCCAGUGGCAUUGCCGGGUAGCUAUGUUCGGAAUAGAUAACCGCUGAAAGCAUCUAAGCGGGAAACUAGCCUCAAGAUGAGAUCUCACUGGAACCUUGAGUUCCCUGAAGGGCCGUCGAAGACUACGACGUUGAUAGGUGGGGUGUGUAAGCGCUGUGAGGCGUUGAGCUAACCCAUAUUAAUUGCCCGUGAGGCUUGACC